rnacentral:rRNA from 1 species
CGUGCCUAACACAUGCAAGUCGAACGAAGCAUACGGACCGGAGAUCGUCGAAGGACCGUAUGACUUAGUGGCGGACGGGUGAGUAAUGUAUGAGCAACCUGCCUUUCAGAGGGGGGACAACAGUUGGAAACGACUGCUAAUACCGCGUAACGUAUCGUGGGGGCAUCCUCGUGAUACCAAAGGAGCAAUCCGCUGAAAGAUGGGCUCAUAUCUGAUUAGCUUGUUGGCGGGGUAACGGCCCACCAAGGCGACGAUCAGUAGCCGGACUGAGAGGUUGAACGGCCACAUUGGGACUGAGAUACGGCCCAGACUCCUACGGGAGGCAGCAGUGGGGAAUAUUGGGCAAUGGGCGAAAGCCUGAACCCCAGCAACGCCGCGUGAAGGAAGAAGGUCUUCGGAUUGUAAACUUCUUUUAUGAGGGACGAAGGACGUGACGGUACCUCAUGAAUAAGCCACGGCUAACUACGUGCCAGCAGCAGC